rnacentral:lncRNA from 1 species
AGUGAUCCUCACACCUCAGCCUCCCGAGUAGCCGCGAUCACAAGUUAAACAAACACAGUUCUUUACAUCAAUGCUUCCGUCCCUGGCCAUCUGGUCUCCUGUCCCCUCCAGACCCAAAACCAUGGGCUGGGCUGCAGCAAAAUGAGGGUGUACUCAGUGCACUGAGGCCCAUGUACCAUGAGAGAUGGAGAAAGCCUUGGCCGGAGUUUAAGGAUUUGGGGCUGGGCACAGUGGCUCGUGCCUGUAAUCCUAGCACUUUGGGAGGCCAAGGCAGGAGGAUCACUUGAGGC